UUCUUAUCUAGAGAGGUAGAGGGACUGGCCCUUUGACGCCUCAGCAACCAUUAACAUUCAUUCGUUAAUAAGGUGCUAAUUCCAGCAAAUUGUGAAAGAUUUGACAGAUGAGAA
rnacentral:ncRNA from 15 species